rnacentral:rRNA from 1 species
CCUACGGGAGGCAGCAGUGAGGAAUAUUGGUCAAUGGGCGAGAGCCUGAACCAGCCAAGUCGCGUGAAGGAUGACGGCCCUACGGGUUGUAAACUUCUUUUGUCAGGGAGCAAUUGGGUCCACGCGUGGGCUUAGCGAGAGUACCUGAAGAAAAAGCAUCGGCAAACUCCGUGCCAGCAGCCGCGGUAAUACGAAGGAUGCGACCGUUAUCGGGAUUUAUUGGGUUUAAAGGGUGCGUAGGCGGAAUAUCAAGUCAGCGGUAAAAAUUCGGGGCUAAACCCCGUCGUGCCGUUGAAACUGAUGUUCUUGAGUGGGCGAGAAGUAUGCGGAAUGCGUGGUGUAGCGGUGAAAUGCAUAGAUAUCACGAAGAACUCCGAUUGCGAAGGCAGCCUGCCGGGGUGCGACUGACGCUGAGGCUCGAAGGUGCGGGUAUCAAACAGGAUUAGAUACCCCUGUAGUC